rnacentral:rRNA from 1 species
UACGAAGGGGGCGAGCGUUGUUCGGAAUUACUGGGCGUAAAGGGCGCGCAGGCGGCCUUAGAAGUCAGAUGUGAAAGCCCCGGGCUCAACCUGGGAAUGGCAUUUGAUACUCUGAGGCUGGAGUACGGGAGAGGAGAGUGGAAUUCCCAGUGUAGAGGUGAAAUUCGUAGAUAUUGGGAAGAACACCGGUGGCGAAGGCGGCUCUCUGGACCGUAGCUGACGCUGAGGCGCGAAAGCGUGGGGAGCAAACAGGG